rnacentral:rRNA from 1 species
UACGUAGGGGGCGAGCGUUGUCCGGAAUCAUUGGGCGUAAAGCGCGUGUAGGCGGUCCGGUAAGUCCGCUGUGAAAGUCGGGGGCUCAACCCUCGGAUGCCGGUGGAUACUGCCGGGCUAGAGUCCGGAAGAGGCGAGUGGAACUCCUGGUGUAGCGGUGGAAUGCGCAGAUAUCAGGAAGAACACCAACGGCGAAGGCAGCUCGCUGGGACGGAACUGACGCUGAGGCGCGAAAGCGUGGGGAGCGAACAGG